UACGAAGGGGGCUAGCGUUGCUCGGAAUGACUGGGCGUAAAGGGCGCGUAGGCGGAUGGCACAGUCAGAUGUGAAAUUCCCGGGCUUAACCUGGGGGCUGCAUUUGAUACGUGUUGUCUCGAGUGAGGGAGAGGAGCGUGGAAUUCCCAGUGUAGAGGUGAAAUUCGUAGAUAUUGGGAAGAACACCGGUGGCGAAGGCGGCGCUCUGGACCGAGACUGACGCUGAGGCGCGAAAGCGUGGGGAGCAAACAGG
rnacentral:rRNA from 1 species